rnacentral:lncRNA from 1 species
GAAGCUUUAUUCUUCUUGCUUUGCUUUGCUCUACUUUUCUUUAAAACUCCAAUCAGUUUCCUUCACAGACGCGCUAUCAGAGAGAAAUGAGAAUCUGGGAUUUCCUCAAGUCAAGCACAGAAGCAGUGAAGCGAAAUGUACUGGAUUUUAGUCCGGUUCGGGUGAAGACUGAAGAACGCCUUCCGAACCUCUUACAAUUACGGAUCCGCCGCCUGCACCAAGAUCGUUAAUGUCAUCGUAGGAAACAACCUCCAAAAGCUCAACCAGUGGUGUCUGGACGAUGUGGCCAAAUCUAAGAUCGGUAUCUUUGCUACAAGAUGUGCUAAAACUUUUGCCCUCAAUGCACUCUACGGGAGUUACAGAUAUUAUCCCGGUUUGCUUCCAUCUCAUAUACCACAGUUUCGUUUUAUUUUUUGUUUAUACUUUACCGAAAGGGAAAGACUGAGUAUUUUAUAUUUGCAUUUUAAUUUAAUCUUAAAAUGUCAACAAUAAGA